rnacentral:rRNA from 1 species
GAUGAACGCUGGCGGCGUGCCUAAAACAUGCAAGUCGAGCGAACAGAUGAGGAUCUUGCUCCUCUGACGUUAGCGGCGGACGUGUGUGUAACACGUGGAUAACCUACCUAUAAGACUGGGAUAACUUCGGGAAACCGGAGCUAAUACCGGAUAAUAUAUUGAACCGCAGGGUUCAAUAGUGAAAGACGGUGUUGCUGUCACUUAUAGAUGGAUCCGCGCCGCAUUGUCUAGUUUGUAAGGUAACGGCUUAUCAAGGCAACGAUGCGUAGCCGACCUGAGAGAGUGGUCGGCCACCCUGGAAAUGAGACACGGUCCAGAGUACUACGGGAGGCAGCAGUAGGGAAUCUUCCGCAAUGGGCGAAAGCAUGACGGAGCAACGCCGCGUGAGUGAUGAAGGUCUUCGGAUCGUAAAACUCUGUUAUUAGGGAAGAACCAAUGUGUAAGUAACUGUGCACGUAUUGACGGUACCUAAUCAGAAAGCCACGGCUAACUACGUG